AACUCCAACCCACCAUGCACGAAACCAAACAAACAUUAAAAAAAAAAAAACACCAAUAAUUCACGGACUCUGUUUGUGGUUUCGCUUUCACGGUUUCACCAUCACUAAUUUCAACCCCUACUGUCGGUUUCUCCUCUUUCUUUGGGGGGUUUGUGCAGGGUUUAUCAUCUCAAACCCCAAUAUAUCAUUAGCUUCAAAUACACACACACAUACGCACAAAAAUGGGGUCUUUGGAAAAUGGGGUUGAGCAACUAACACUACAUGACAGAGAAGAAGAGCCAAUAUUGAAAGAGCAAAACCAGAGGUUUUGCAUGUUUCCCAUAAGGUACAAGCAGCUUUGGGAGAUGUACAAGAAGGCUCAAGCCAGUUUCUGGACCGCUGAGGAGGUUGAUCUUUCCCAGGAUAUGAGGCAGUGGGAAACUCUGUCUGACUCUGAGAAACACUUCAUUAGCCAUGUGCUGGCAUUUUUUGCCGCAUCUGAUGGGAUUGUAUUGGAGAAUUUAGCUGCUAGAUUUCUAAAUGAUGUUCAAGUACCAGAGGCUCGGGCAUUCUAUGGAUUUCAAAUUGCAAUGGAGAAUGUUCACUCUGAAAUGUACAGCUUGCUUCUAGAGACAUAUAUCAAGGAUUCAAAAGAGAAGCAUAGAUUGUUCAAUGCAAUUGAAAACAUUCCUUGUGUGGCUAGGAAGGCUAAGUGGGCUUUAGAUUGGAUUUAUAGCUCCACCUUGUUUGCAGAGAGAAUUGUUGCUUUUGCAUGUGUUGAAGGAAUCUUUUUCUCAGGAAGCUUCUGUUCCAUAUUCUGGCUUAAAAAGAGGGGAAUGAUGCCAGGCUUGACAUUCUCAAAUGAGCUUAUUUCUAGAGAUGAAGGCCUCCAUUGUGACUUUGCUUGCCUUCUUUACAGUUUGUUAAGGAAUCAAUUACAUUGGGAAAAGGUUCAUCACAUUGUACAUGAAGCUGUUGAAAUUGAGACGCAAUUUGUGUGCGAGGCCCUUCCAUGUGCAUUGAUUGGCAUGAAUUCAAUACUCAUGAGCCAGUAUAUAAAGUUUGUAGCUGACCGACUUUUGGUUUCAUUAGGGUGCCAGAGGAAAUACAAUGUGGAAAAUCCUUUUGAUUGGAUGGAAUUUAUUUCUCUGCAGUGAGUAUUGAUGAAAGCAUGCUUAGGUUCUGAUUUUAGUCUUUAAAUUAACUCAAGCAAAGGUUAAAAGUACUGCUGAUCUCAUUAGGAUUUCCUUUCAUUUUCAAGUAGGUUGUAACCCCUUGAGGGUGCCUCUUAGAAGGCUUUAACAGCCAGAUAUUUUUCUUUGAAAACCAAUUGAUUUAUGGGUUUCCACCAUCCCCUGCAUUAUGAUAAAAUAUUAGGUCUAUCAUAUUUUCGUAAGUAUAAUCAUAUCACUAUUAGCACCUGCAGGGACCAAUCAAAUAUUGGUCCCUGACGUAAAUUAUCAAACCAUGUUUACAAGAAUUGAGGUGUGAACAGCCAGACUUGAUGGAAGUAUGGGAUAAGGCUUAAGAGCCACAUAGGAAGUCAGACUUAUUUGAGUUGGUGAUAUGUUUGGCCAAAAUAAACAGAGGAAAGGCAAACUUUUUUGAAAGAAGGGUGGGCGAAUAUCAAAAGGCAUCUGUAAUGUCAAGCCUUCAAGAUGGUGGAAAA